CUUAUUUAUAAUACUAUUACUACCCUACCCUUCGCUGCUUCGCAUAUUGCCAUAUAAUACUGAUAUGAGUUAACCCUAUUUUUAUUCCAAUCCAGCGCCGCUUCUCUAGUUCUCUUCAGUUCAUAUUCACUGUUCGCUUAAUUGUUCCUUUCUGGUAGUCAUUGAAAGCUAUCCUUUCAUCUCCUUACUGAGGAUUUUGCACUUUUACUUUUUUUACAUAUCAGGAAGGCAACACU
rnacentral:lncRNA from 1 species